rnacentral:lncRNA from 1 species
GGCUAUUUGGCACAAUAAACUGGUACAUGAAAGUCAUGAUUUGCCAGCUGUGUAUGGGGCCCAAGCUGGAAACACUUUAAUACCUCCAUGACCCUGCAGUCAUACCAGGAACUUAGAUCCAUGAGUCUAGGGAUGAAACCAAUACAUGAAUCUGGCAGACACCAAUCAUGAGACGUAAACUGAACCUAGGAAAGCAGGAGAAUCUCUGGCAUAGACAACUUCUGCCAAAGAGACAAAUUUGUCUGGGGGUAAUAGAGAUCACAGAGACCAGAGAAAGUCUGAUGCCCUAUCCUCACCCUGUUCUCUUGAACCUGGCAUCCGGUGUGGGUUCAGCAGCAGGAAGAAUCUGAAUGGGGUGGAGUGACUGAGCUCAGUGCUCGGAAACAGUCCUUGAAAAGCCAAAAAAUGGCAGUAUCCCUGAACUAUAGAACCUGUGAAGGACCAACUCCAGCUUCCUGUGGGUGGCGCUCUGGUAAGAGUAAUGGGGUCCGUUCUGAGAAGUGUGUCGAUUCAUUAACACCUGAAAGCUCUCCACAUAAUAAAACACCUGGGGCAAUAUCCCAGCCCCUGGGAGCUUCACUUGCAGAGAUUUAUCUCACAGAACCCAAAGGCAACAAUACUCAGGAAGUCAGGUUGCAAGCAUCUUCCACAGCUUUUCACACCAUACUGUGGAGAGAGGAAGCUGAGAAAUGGAAAGGCAGUUUGACACAGACAGUGGGCAAAAACUCUCCUUGAAUAUUCUGUUAUUUUUUGUUUGUUAUUGUACUUUUUGUUUUGAAUGUGUACUGAUUGAUACAUGGUGGACACUUA